UACAGAGGUGGCAAGCGUUGUUCGGAAUUACUGGGCGUAAAGGGCGCGUAGGCGGCCUAUCAAGUCGGACGUGAAAUCCCCGGGCUCAACUCGGGAAUUGCGUCCGAUACUGGGAGGCUCGAGUUCGGGAGAGGGAUGUGGAAUUCCAGGUGUAGCGGUGAAAUGCGUAGAUAUCUGGAGGAACACCGGUGGCGAAGGCGGCAUCCUGGACCGAAACUGACGCUGAGGCGCGAAAGCCAGGGGAGCAAACGGG
rnacentral:rRNA from 1 species